GGGAUCAUAGCUCAGCUGGGAGAGCAUCUGCCUUACAAGCAGAGGGUCAUAGGUUCGAGCCCUAUUGGUCCCAC
rnacentral:tRNA from 3 species